rnacentral:rRNA from 1 species
AUCUUCCUACGGGAGGCAGCAGAGAGGAAGAUUGGUAAAUGGUAGGGAGACUGAACCAGCCAAGCCGCGUGAGGGAGGAAGGUACAGAGUAUCGUAAACCUCUUUUGUCAGGGAACAAAGACUGGGACGCGUCCCCGGAUGAGUGUACCUGAAGAAAAAGCAUCGGCUAACUCCGUGCCAGCAGCCGCGGUAAUACGGAGGAUGCGAGCGUUAUCCGGAUUUAUUGGGUUUAAAGGGUGCGCAGGCGGUCUGUUAAGUCAGCGGUCAAAGCCCGGGGCUCAACCCCGGCCCGCCGUUGAAACUGG